ACUGUAACUACCCUGGUAGGUUUCUGUAUCACUAUAACUACCCUGGUAGGCUUCUGUAUCACUGUAACUACCCUGGUAGGUUUCUAUAUCACUAACUACCCUGGUAGGUAUCUGUAUCACUAUAACUACCCUGGUAGGUUUCUGUAUCACUAACUACCCUGGUAGGUUUCUGUAUCACUAACUACCCUGGUAGGUGUACAUGUCUGUAACUACCCUGGUAGGUUACUGUAUCACUAACUACCCUGGUAGGUUACUGUAUCUCUGUAACUACCCUGGUAGGUGUCUGUAUCACUGUAACUACCCUGGUAGGUUUCUGUAUCACUGUAACUGUAACUACUGUGGUAUUAAGGUCUUAUCUGGAAUGGAAAUGCUAUAUGUACAUGAUAUCACUGGGUAUGAUGUAAAACAUAUCACUUAUGGUAGAUAUACAUGUAUUUCCAAUAGUAUUAAUAUGCAGCUAACACUAUUUCAUAUUUGAUAUCGUGAUGGUCCGUCUAUCUUCUAACAUUUACAGUAGACAUAUAAUAUCUACAUAAAAUUCACUGCCUGUGUUAAAUCUUGUCCACCACCUUGAUCAACUAACCCUGAACUUUGUUUCUUUUUCAGUACCUAAAUAUUGUACCAAAUUUAUAUGAAGGUUGGUUGAUACUCUUUUUCAUGUCACCAAUGUUCAUGAGUCCUUGCCAUCCAUUCGUCUAGCCUUCCUUCUUUGUUAUAGAUACAUGUACUUGAAUAAAACUAAGUAUAUGUUACUGCCACAUGGUGUGCUGCAUGUCAGCUUUGGGUCAUGGUUAUUUUCUAGGUUAAAUCCGGCCAAAUAACACCCUGUUCUCUCUGCUGAUAAAACAGCAUGUUCUGAUGAAAUUUGCCAUUACUGGGGUAAACCUUUUAUAUUGUGUCGUGUGUAUAUUACUCCCACAGUCAUGGGUCCAAGGUGAAGGCCGUGUAACAAAUCUGGCAAAUUAACACCCAUUUUUACUGCAUUACAUGUGUCGUCCACAUGGGAUCACCUCAUUCAAAUUAUAUACAUACUUAUCAUCCUAAAAUGGUAUAUACAAUUGUACAUUCAAACUUGUCAUGUGUGACCUUUCAAGGGAGGUAAUUAAAAAGUCACAUGUUACAGGUGGUCUCUUAGUCAAGGUUAAGGUAACUAGUAUAGUUCAUAUAACAAUGGGAGGGGAAAUAUGGUCACAUAUGACAGGUGGUCUCUUAGUCAUGGUUCAGGUAACUGGUAUACAUAUGGUAAAUACCAUUGGGAGGAGAAAUAUGGUCACAUAUGACAGGUGGUCUCUUAAUCCAUGUUCAGGUAACUGGUAUACAUAUGGUAAAUAACAUUGGGACGGGAAAUAUGGUCACAUAUGACAGGUGGUCUCUUAAUCCAGGUUCAGGUAACUGGUAUACAUAUGGUAAAUAACAUUGGGACAGGAAAUAUGGUCACAUAUGACAGGUGGUCUCUUAAUCCAAGUUCAGGUAACUGGUAUACAUAUGGUAAAUAACAUUGGGACGGGAAAUAUGGUCACAUAUGACAGGUGGUCUCUUAAUCCAGGUUCACGUAACUGGUAUACAUAUGGUAAAUAACAUUGGGAGGGGAAAUAUGGUCACAUAUGACAGGUGGUCUCUUAAUCCAGGUUCACGUAACUGGUAUACAUAUGGUAAAUAACAUUGGGAGGGGAAAUAUGGUCACAUAUGACAGGUGGUCUCUUAAUCCAGGUUCAGGUAACUGGUAUAUACAUAUGGUAAAUAACAUUGGGACAGGAAAUAUGGUCACAUAUUACAGGUGGUCUCUUAGUCCAGGUUCAGGUAACUGGUACAUAUAUGGUAAAUAACAUUGGGACGGGAAAUAUGGUCACAUAUUACAGGUGGUCUCUUAAUCCAGGUUCACGUAACUGGUAUACAUAUGGUAAAUAACAUUGGGAGAGGAAAUAUGGUCACAUAUGACAGGUGGUCUCUUAAUCCAGGUUCACGUAACUGGUAUACAUAUGGUAAAUAACAUUGGGACGGGAAAUAUGGUCACAUAUGACAGGUGGUCUCUUAAUCCAAGUUCAGGUAACUGGUAUAUACAUCAGGUAAAUAACAUCGGGAAAUAUGAGAGGGGGUAAAUGCUUAUUUCACUAAAACAGGAACGUCAUAUAUGGACAUCGAUGUCACUUAGACUGAAUUCUAGUUUUUGUCCCCCAUGCAACCAAAUUGUGAAGCGAGACUACACUGUAUAUGGUUAAGUCCAAAUUUACCAAACUUUGGAUAUAGUAAGAUCACACAGUCGACAUCUCCGGUUUUUAUUUACAAGAGAUUAUCCAGAAUUGAUGGUCCAGCAGUUCUAGAAUUUAAGGAUGCUAGAAAUCCGGACUUAGUUUUGUGUUUAGCUCAGUUUCUCAAAAAGUAUAGAAGUUUUUUCAACCAAACCUUGAAUCUAGUUAGUGUAGUAUGAAUAUCUCAACUUACCCAACAGAUUAUGUGAAUUUCAUUUUUUUGCUGUAUUUUUGGGUUUUAAACUUUUAACUUAGAUUUUGAGAAAUUGACAUAAAAUCUGUAUUGCUUCUCCAGUUAGUUUAUAGCCAAAUUGGAGUGCAUUCUAUAUAUUUAGGUGAAUUUUGAGAAUUGAUGGUUUUGCUAAAAUUGUUUUGCCAUGCAUCAAUAUUUACACAUGUCUAUAAUUACUUGGUGCUUCCAUACUAUGGAGAAUUUUUGUUUAAAAAAGGUACUGAAAUUUUAGCGAAUUUUUGAGUGUGCUUAAAACAUCACUAUGCCCACAAAACAGGACAUGGGAGACAUAUAGUUAGGUAACUCUUAUGUUGGUUUAUAUGAUGGAAUGAAUAAUGAGAGGUGAGAAACAUGAGGACCAACAAUCACAAGCUGACAGACACUUUUAGAUUUGUACAGCAUCAUUUGUAUGACAAGAAUAUGGUACUUCACAAAGUGUUUUCAAAGUUAACAUGGAAGUAUGUUGGCCUGAUGUAUCUGAUUCUUAAAAGAUGGCAGGUUAUUGUAUCAACCUCUGAUGGCCAGCACCAGAUGUGGUUUAAAUAUAGUGUAAUGCUAUGUAUACUUGUAUUAUUUUUAUUUGAUUUAAAUAAUUUUAUUAAUUCUAGUCAGUUCAUAUCACUAUCAUUCUAGCCAGUUAUGGCCAUUGGUACAUAGUUCACCAAUCAAAUAGACUUCAGAGAUUACACCGGAGACAGGUGACAGAAAUUACACUGGAGACAGGUGACAGAAAUUACACUGGAGACAGGUGACAGAAAUUACACUGCAGACAGAUGACAGAAAUGACAUCAGAGACAGAUGACAGAAAUUACACUGGAGACAGAUGACAGAAAUUACACCGGAGUCAGGUGACAGAAAUUACACUGGAGACAGGUGACAGAAAUUACACUGGAGACAGAUGACAGAAAUUACACUGGAGACAGGUGACAGAAAUUACACUGGAGACAGGUGACAGAAAUUACACUGGAGACAGGUGACAGAAAUUACACUGUAGACAGAUGGCAGAAAUUACAUCGGAGACAGGUGACAGAAAUUACACUGGAGACAGAUGACAGAAAUGACAUCAGAGACAGAUGGCAGAAAUUACACUGGAGACAGAUGACAGAAAUUACACUGGAGACAGAUGACAGAAAUUACACUGGAGACAGAUGACAGAAAUUACACUGGAGACAGAUGACAGAAAUUACACUGGAGACAGAUGGCAGAAAUUACACUGGAGACAGAUGACAGAAAUUACAUCGGAAACAGAUAACAGAAAUUACACUGGAGACAGGUGACAGAUAUUACACCAGAGACAGAUGACAGAAAUUUCACUGGAGACAGGUGACAGAAAUUACAUCGGAGACAGAUAACAGAAAUUACACUGGAGACAGAUGACAGAAAUUUCACUGGAGACAGGUGACAGAAAUUACACUGGAGACAGAUGGCAGAAAUUACACUAGAGACAGAUGACAGAAAUUACACUUGAGACAGGUGACAAAAAUUACACUGGAGACAGGUGACAGAAAUUACACUGGAGACAGAUGACUAAAAUAACACCAGAGACAGAUGACAGAAAUUACGCUGAAGACAGGUGACAGAAAUUUCACUGGAAACAGGUGACAGAAAUUACAUCGGAGACAGAUAACAGAAAUUACACUGGAGACAGAUGACAGAAAUUUCACUGGAGACAGGUGACAGAAAUUACACUGGAGACAGAUGGCAGAAAUUACACUAGAGACAGAUGACAGAAAUUACACUUGAGACAGGUGACAAAAAUUACACUGGAGACAGGUGACAGAAAUUACACUGGAGACAGAUGACUAAAAUAACACCAGAGACAGAUGACAGAAAUUACGCUGAAGACAGGUGACAGAAAUUUCACUGGAAACAGGUGACAGAAAUUACACCAGAGACAGAUGACAGAAAUUUCACUGGAGACAGGUGACAGAAAUUACACUUGAGACAGGUGACAAAAAUUACACUGGAGACAGAUGACAGAAAUUACACUUGAGACAGGUGACAAAAAUUACACUGGAGACAGGUGAC